GUGACGGCCCGAGGUACCAGGUACCCAGUGCCAGUAUAUCCGUUUAUCCAGUCUGAUCAGUGUAUAGGCUACACGGGCAGUUAAUUUAAGCACUAUUAAAUUCAAAUAGCUAAAUCCAGUCUUCUGACAUACAACACCACCAAAAUUAGCAAAAAUUGAAAUAUUAGCAAAUAAAAAUAUAAACAGCAACUGCAAAGAAUAUUGAUGUCAUAAAUUCAUAAACAAUUCAUUUAUUUUAUUUUAGUGUAUAUUUCUUUA
rnacentral:misc_RNA from 1 species